CUGCACCCAAAUAUGACAACCCAGACCAGGUGGGGAAAAUGAAGUCUAGUUCAGGCUGGUGGCCCAAGGUCCCCCUUGUUACACUGGCCAGCAACAAGGUAACACUGGCCUUGGCUCGCAAGGCACAUAAACCACACAAGAUGCUGCAGUCAACACCGCUGAGGGUUGGGGGAUCCAGCUAUCUGUAAUUGUGAAGUGAAGAGGAUGUGACUGCCAGGUAAUGCUAACCCCGAAUCCUUGGUGCCUGUGUUAUGCACCAUAUGCUGAAUUUCGGUUCCAGCUGUGUGCUAGGCUGGGUCUGAUCUGGCAAAGAGGAACUGGCUCCACAGCUCUGGGCAGAAUCCACUGCUGCUCCCACACAGAGAAGACCAGGGGAACCGCAGUCCCACUCUGCUCGUCCCCCUGUUCCUCAUGCCCAACCCUUGCCAAGACUUCAGGUAACAGAAGGAAGAGAACACAUGGAUGGGCACAUGCUGGGCCCGGAAGAGCUGUGCAUGUCCCACAGACCACGAGUGUGGAGCCCAUGGCCGUGUGAAGGGGGUGGGGUCCCAGUCCUAGAAGCAGGAUCAUGGAAGUGGCCUUGGAGGACCUGACGAGGA
ensembl:lncRNA LINC00222 long intergenic non-protein coding RNA 222